CGGAAACCAACUUUGGACAAGCCCUCCCCAGAGACAUUUGUGAAGGCUGCACUCCAGACAGUCGGCUUAGACGCUCGGACGAACGGCUACCCGAUCCAUUCUCUGAUGGGCUCAAUACACUCACUGCUGCCUACGUGGCUUUUUGCAAAAAUAUCCAUGAAUAUACACAAGUCCCUGCGAGCUCGCUAUCUGAAGAAAAACAAGAAGAACUGAGCACAGGGGACUGCAGCGGGUACCUCAGUCCUUACACAGCGCCCCCGGCCAGUCUGCAAAUGUCACAGCUGUUUCAGUGGUUACUAACUGGGCUAAAUUUUAACCUCCUUUGGGAGGAAAGCAAAAGUUGCUCUGAGGAGCUCCUGACUUCUAUUCUGGAUGCUAAUAAAUUUGAAGCUUGAUGUAAAUGCUCGUGUCAAAUGGAUAAAGAACUAACAUGGCCAAGAGCAGCUAAGCAGGAAAGAGCAUAGCGACAGCAAACCACGGGCUGCCAGGCAGGCCUCCGGCCACGCAGGUCACCUGGUCCAAGCAGCUCAUUGACAAGCCAUCAUUCUCGCGUUUUCUCCGAGCCCUACCGUAAAACGGGAUGGCUGGCUGCUCUUGCUUGGCUUUAACACUUUGAGGGGAUGGAGAUUAGCUGGUUCCAUAAUGGGCAGACCCACCACAACUUCAAAUAGAUCUAUGGAAGAUUUUCUAGGAGUGGGUUCCAGUCUGUGCGCUUAGAUGAAACUACUCUUUCUCAAAAGAAGUGCCAGAGAUG